rnacentral:ncRNA from 1 species
GGACGAGCCUCUGGAGAGACUCAUUUAUGAAUGAGCACCGAAGGAGCAAAAUAUUGAAGAAAAUAUUAUUACAUUUAUUAUUUAAAGUAGUAAAUUUUUUUAGUAUUGAAACUCUCAGGUAAAAGGACAGAGGAUAGGAA